rnacentral:lncRNA from 1 species
AGUCUUCUCCGAUCCGAGUCCGACGAUCUGUCUCUUCUGUGUUGGUCGCCCCGGACACAGGCUAAUCAAGUUCAAGUUCGACCGCGCGCAGGCUAGCUCCACGCGGCCAUGCCAUCGCUAAUGUCGCUGACGCCGUGGCGGAGGAAGAAGAGGGUGCCUGGUGGGCCGGUGACGGUGCGCACGCGGCGGCGCACCUCGCUGGGUGCUCUGUGGCGGCGCCUGGUGCGGACGCUCACCUGCGCGCGCCGCCCCUACUACUGACCGACCGAUAGACGAUGUAUCUAUCAUCCUCCAUGGACGACGUGCUACGGGAGGAUGAUAUCGGUUGCCAGCUGAUGAGAGAGGUGCUGUGCUAACAGAUGAGGGAUCGAUGCAAUACAAUGCAAGCAAGCUUGUCCGUGAUGUGUUUGUUCAUAGUCGUAUCAUGUGAGACGGUUCUAGCUAAUGUAUCGUGUCGACUACUUUUUUAUACCACCUACGUAUAUAUAUGUAUAAUUUCUAUAUCUAAUAACAUGUGCCCUUCCUCUUGAAAAGUUUGGGCUCUGCUUGCCUGAAAUUUAGAUUGUUGCUACUUCAGAUGUCUGAAAUAUAGAUUGUGUUCAGUGACGUUUCACAUUGUAUUAGAUCUGCAUCCAAAACCAAGAGUCUAGAUUUGUUUAUAGUGAAUUAUAUAUAGUAGAUC